UGUUGGAGGAAAAUUGUUGAAAUGGUUGCAAAAAGAGCUUGCAGGCUAAAUCGUAAUGAUUGUAAGAAGAACCUGCAUGCCAAAUGCUGCCUCGUGUGAGGGGCAGCCUUUGUGCAUUAAUGUAUGCUUUGUGCAUGAAUGUAUACUUUGAUACUGUACUGGAGCACAUCCUUGGCUUUAUGUGUGCCUGUGGUUCUGUUGGAGUAUUCAGUUUUAAAAGUUAGGCAUAUAUUAAUUAAUUGCAGUUUGCUCUUUUAGUGGUAAAGUGGCAUUUGGAAAGAAACGUUUUAAAUAAUGACAAAAUAUCUUAUUUGAAAACACUCUGACCACAUGAGAAUGCCUUCAAUAGACAGUGCUUUCUUUGGAGGGGAAACAGAAAUUAGUGCCUGCCUGACUAAAGAAAGCUUGUUAUGGUGAGCUGUGCCACAUUUUGAGUGAAACAGGAUGACUGAGGGAUGCAGGAGUGGAGGAGAAGUUACUGUUUCAGGCCUACCAAUUCAAGAGAUUUAAUGGAAGUUAUUCCUAGAGGAAUGUUUACAUUAUUGAUGUGUGCAAAAAUUAACAAAAAGAACCGCGUUUAUUUGAGAUCCAUAAGAAGAAAAAUAGGAAAAACGAAUGAGCUAAAUGGAAAAGGAGAAAAGUAGAAAUGGUAGGGACUAGGCAAUCUUUUGAUAAAAAAAGGAAAACAAAAUACAGAAACAGAUUGAUACCAUCAUUUUGCAAGUGAGUGCAGUCGAACAACAUGCUAUUUGUCCUUGCUCGACUCUGGUGUCGCUUUUGGAAUUGCCUCAUUCUGCUACCACCAACGUGAUGGAUCUCCUGAUAACAAAUACUGCACUAAAUUGCAUUUACAGAGUUGUGACAAAUACUGAGCACCACACACUGGGAAUGAGACAUGGGCUCACAAAAGCAAGAGGAUAUUAAGAAUGUUUCUUACUGGAUCUAGGAAGUUUAACUCACCAGUUCAAAACUUUCUAGAUCCAGUAAGAAACAUUCUUAUUUUUCACCAGUUUGGGGGCUGUAUGUGACUUAAAGUGGUUGUUUCAUUUGUCUGUAAUGAAAGUAUGUGGGCUGCUUGGCUUUGCUAUGCUGAAAAUGAAAACUGGUGAAUCCCAAAUAUUAGAUAAGUCCACUUUGAUGCUGCCUGCUGUUUUCAGAACCUAGAGAAUUGCUGUUAUUGCUGUGGAGCAAAUGUAGCUUGUGCAGCCCCAAGUGGACUUCUGAACCCUGAAUAUCAGCAAUGGGACUCGUUACUGAGAUAUCAGUUCUCGAAGGUUUUGGGUGCCUGCCUCCCAUAGGAAUUCAGUUGCAGCUGAACAAUUUUCAGCUGAGUUGGACACUUAAAUACACUUGAAGAGCCUGGGCUUAGAUUUCAUGGGUGGGACUACUUUAAAUCAAAAUGGUGGGUGAAGCCCUUCUCCCCUGUCCUUUCUCCUGCACAUCACUUACAUAAUGCUCCUGCCCUGCCUCAGGGCCCAGAGGCCUACAGACUUCAGAGAGAUGCAUUUAAACAGUACAUUACUAUGCUGUUAGAUAAUCAUUGCUAUCUUACCCUCAGUAUGCCAUCCCUCUGAACUCUUGACAAGGAGUUCCAAAGGUUGACAGUCUGAUAGACAUGGCAGUAUUUGCCUUUUAUUUGUUGUGAAUGUAUCACUCUUCAGUUGACUGCCUUUGUGACAGGACUGUGCUGAGGCAAACAUAAGGGAUCAGCUGCUUUUUAUUAAGACUUUUUCAUACCAGGACUUUUUCCCGGAAUGGUUAUGGUGGUGUUCAAGGCCAGUCUGGAUGGGGCUUUAAUCAACCUGGUGUAGUGGAAGGUUCCCUGCCCAUGGCAGAGGGAUUUGAACUAGAUGGUCUUUAAGGUCCCUUCCAACCCAAACCAGUCUAUGAUUCUAUGAUUCUACAUUGAAUAACCCAAAACUUUCAUUUUUUUUCUGCCUAAAUUGCCCAAGUGUUUGAAAUCAUAUUCACGAUUUUCAUUACAAUUGAAUUCUAGUUUUUGUCACCUCUUAUGUCAACCCUGCCAGUAUUUUAGCUAUUUUUUCACUUUCUGGAUUUCUCUGCAGCAUCCAGAUGAGCAAGCACUACUGUGUUACUGUGCUGACAGAGCACCCUUAAAUUGGGUUGGAUGUUGGAGGGGAAAUGG